rfam:Ictidomys tridecemlineatus contig111610, whole genome shotgun sequence.
UGGGUUGUGGCUCAGUGGUAGAGCACUCGCCUGACACGUGUGAAGCACUGGGUUCAAUCCUCCGCACCACAA